AACGAACGCUGGCGGCAUGCCUAACACAUGCAAGUCGAACGAGACCUUCGGGUCUAGUGGCGCACGGGUGCGUAACGCGUUGGAACCUGCCCUUAGGUUCGGAAUAACUCCCCGAAAAGCGUGCUAAUACCGGGUAAUAUCUCCGGACCGAACAUUUGUCGACUUUGGAUGGGCCCGCGUUGGAUUGGCUUGUUGGUAGGGUAAACGCCUACCAAGGCGACGAUCGAUAGCUGGUCUGAGAGGAUGAGCAGCCACACUGGGACUGAGACACGGCCCAGACUCCUGCGGGAGGCAGCAGUGGGGAAUCUUGGACAAUGGCGGAAAGCCUGAUCCAGCUAUGCCGCGUGAGUGAUGAAGGCCUUAGGGUUGUAAAGCUCGUUUACCCGGGAUGAUAAUGACAGUACCGGGAGAAUAAGCUCCGGCUAACUCCGUG
rnacentral:rRNA from 1 species